rnacentral:rRNA from 1 species
GGAUAUUGGACAAUGGGGGGAACCCUGAUCCAGCCAUGCCGCGUGUGUGGAGAAGGCCUUUUGGGUGUAAAGCACUUUAAGCGAGGAGGAGGCUACUAUCGUUAAGACCUAGGGAUAGUGGACGUUACUCGCAGAAUCAGCACCGGCCACCUCUGUCCCAGCCGCCGCGGUAAUACAGAGGGUGCAAGCGUUAAACGGUUUUACUGGGCGUAAAGCGCGCUUAGGUGGCCAAUUAAGUCAAAUGUGAAAUCCCCGAGCUUAACUUGGGAAUUGCAUUCGAUACUGGUUGGCUAGAGUAUGGGAGAGGAUGGUAGAAUUCCAGGUGUAGCGGUGAAAUGCGUAGAGAUCUGGAGGAAUACCGAUGGCGAAGGCAGCCAUCUGGCCUAAUACUGACACUGAGGUGCGAAAGCAUGGGGAGCAAACA